AUACGUAGGGGGCAAGCGUUAUCCGGAUUUACUGGGUGUAAAGGGCGUGUAGGCGGAGAUGCAAGUCAGGAGUGAAAUCUAGGGGCUCAACCCCUAAACUGCUUUUGAAACUGUAUCCCUUGAGUAUCGGAGAGGCAGGCGGAAUUCCUAGUGUAGCGGUGAAAUGCGUAGAUAUUAGGAGGAACACCAGUGGCGAAGGCGGCCAGCUGGACGACAACUGACGCUGAGGCGCGAAAGCGGGGGGAGCAAACAGGAUUAGAUACCCUGGUAGUCCACGCUGUAAACGAUGAAUACUAGGUGUGGGGGGACUGACCCCCUCCGUGCCGCAGUUAACACAAUAAGUAUUCCGCCUGGGGAGUACGGCCGCAAGGUUGAAACUCAAAGGAAUUGACGGG
rnacentral:rRNA from 1 species